GGCUGGGCCUGCGGGCCGCGGGACAGGGAGGGCGCGGGGCCGGGCUGCUGGGUCCGAGCUCUGGGCACGAUGUCCUCCCUGACGCCGCCAGGACAGCGCCUGGCCCAGGCCUGGGCCUGGUGAACGCGGGUUUCUUCCUCUGAGGUUCAACACUCCGCACUUGGGUUGGCUCCUUUCAUCCUGAUUGGUUUAUUCGCCACGUGCCAAGCACUGAAGAGGGCGUGCAGGAUGGAUACUUUUGGAGCAAAAAUAGCCCUGCUUCUUUCCUGGGGAGGGAUCGCACUUUCUAGAGGGGCGGUUUUCAAAGUAUGGUCUCAGGACUAGCAGCAUCGAAAAUGCUGGGAACUCGUUAGAAAAGCAAGUUUUCAAUCCUCGCCCCAGAAUCAGAAACUCGGGGUGGAGCCCAGCAAUGUGUGUCCUGACAAGUCCACGCGCGACCCCAGUGCUGGCUAGGGUUGCAAAGCCACUGCUCUACGGAGCGAGCGAGAUCCAUCAUAGUGGGACAAGCGAGAGGAUGAGGCCAUACAGACCAGGGUACUGUUCCACGCACUUGACACCAAUCCACCCAUUUCACCUGCAUGAUCACCCUGCCUUUGCAUGAGUUGCCGGUGUGGACAGAGCAGGGACACAGUGAGACAGCGGAUUCCAGCUUUGCUCUUACCUAGAACACACUGCCUCUCACCAGGAAUCGUCCUUCCAUUUUAUGCAGUUAUCCCAGACAAUGAUGCACAAGCUUUGGGAAAAAAACCCCACAAGUCCAAAGGUGUACUUCAUAAUAAAGCACCUGGUCUCACCGUUGUUCUACAGCACAGCAGGCCAGGCUGGAUUGGAGAGUCACCUUCAAGAGCCAUGAUCACUUCACGAGGACCUCUGCUGGUGUCUCCUCUGCUGUCCUGGAGGUCCCAGAGGACAGGAGCUGUGUCCUGUGACCUGCUGACCGCAACGCGUAGCACCUGGAAGGUGUUCAUAGGAUAGUUCCUCAAAUGAGUCAAUGGACAGUGAAUGGGGAAUGGAGUGGACGGUGGACGGGAGGGCAAGUUGUUUCCAUGAAAGGAGGAAAUUCCUGUGGAGGGAGUGGACAAGGCAUGCCUGUUUGAGCCACGCGCAGAUGAGAACACCUAUGCUGCAUGAGUCAGAAGCAAGUAUCAGAAGAUGAUGGAUCUCAUUACUUAGAGAAAAGAAGGCCUCAAACCCAUUGCACAUGGGUAGGGAGGAUGAAAAGAAACACCCACAGAGUUAAGCCACAACACUGGGAAAACUG
rnacentral:lncRNA from 1 species